rnacentral:rRNA from 1 species
UGCCAGCAGCCGCGGUAAUACGGAGGGCGCAAGCGUUGUUCGGAAUUACUGGGCGUAAAGCGCGGGCAGGUGGUCUUUUAAGUCUCCUGUGAAACUCCGGGGCUCAACCCCGGACAUGCAGGAGAUACUGGAAGACUAGAGACCGGUAGAGGCUAGCGGAAUUCCUGGUGUAGCGGUGGAAUGCGUAGAUAUCAGGAAGAACACCGGUGGCGAAGGCGGCUAGCUGGGCCGGGUCUGACACUCAUCCGCGAAAGCGUGGGGAGCAAACCGGAUUAGAUA